rnacentral:tRNA from 1 species
GCCCGAUUAGCUCAGCUGGUUAGAGCGUCGUACUAAUAUAACAUUAUCACUAGGAUGCCACUGGUGGUUAUAUGUAGUCCAUGCGAAGGUCAACAGUUCAAUCCUGUUAUUGGGCA